AUGACAGAAGAGGAAACUGAGGCCCGGAGAGCUUUGCUUACAGGCUUACAGGAGGAAGCUUUCACUUCCUGUAUGAAACCACCAUCAAGAGUGUUUCAGCCAGGGGCUGCCCCGGUCCUGCAGCAGCAAGGAUGUGACCGCUGGAGCUCUGCAUAUGGUGAUUCUCUCAGCCAGCACCCCGCAGGCUGGGGACGCAAAUCCUGCUACAGCCCAUCCCGUGUUCACCCCAGUUUUCCACAGCCUUUUCCAAGAUGGGAAGCCGCAGUGCUCAGGCCUGGCAAGUACACUGUGCAGAUGUGUUCUGGGAGUGGAGCAGGCAGCCCUCCCAGAAGAGGAGCAAGGAGCCAGAGAGCUGAAAGCGGCAUCACCCUCACAGCCAGAAAGAAAGUCAGACACCUUCUAAGUGCGCAGUUUUCCCUGAACCCAUCAGAGACCUGGGGUCACAGGUCUCCAGCCACCUAGAAAUCCAGAGGGAGAUAGACUGGUGCAGGAGACAAGGCUGAGCAUGUGCUGCCUGCCUUGCGCCAGCAGGUGCCAUGGGAGCUGGUAAAAAGGCUCAGCUAAUGCCUCAGCAAGCUCACAGAUAGGGUAGCAGAAUGUGACCCACCUGGGAGGCUGAGACAGGAGGAUUGCAAGUUCAAGCCCAACCCAGGCAAUUUAGUGCCUUAGCAAGACCCUAUCUCAAAAUAUAAAAUACAAAAGGGGCUGAGGAUAUAUCUCAGUGCAAAGGCCCUGGGCUUAGUCCCCAGUACCAGAAAAAGAGAAAAGAGAAGGAAGACAGGAAGAGGAAAAAAAGGAGAAGAAGGUGGAAGGUGACCAGGGGGUGGAUUGCUGGGGCAUUAGCAGAUUCUUGUGGGCUUGUCUUCCAGGAGCCCUGAAGGUCACCAGAUCAGGGAACAUCCUGAGACAGCCUCAGUCAUAUUGCUGGACAGGGAGGGAUCCCAGCAGGGACCUUCACAGAAAGAGCAUGCAGUGGGGACUCAUGAGCUGGGGGUGAGCAGGUCCAGCAUAGAGCAGCCCCAAGACAGUAGUCCUCAGGCCAACACCCAUUGCUGGUUUCCCUGGGCUAUGGAACCAGAGGCUGACAGAACAUCCUGGAACAUCAGCAUGAUCCUCCAUAUCCACUUUCAACAACAGCAGAAAAAAAGGGGGGGCACAAGGAAAGGCCAGCAGAGCUCACUCGGAGACAGCGAACAUCUGGACCAGCACCCGAACAAACCAGGCAGACUUUGGAGUCGCCAGAUGGGGAUAUGAAGACUCCAGUCUAUAUGUGAGAGGGAGGCUCCGCUGGAGAAGAGCAGGCACAGGAACAGAGGGUGACUCCUGGAAACUGUAAGACAGAAGCAAAUAGAAGUACAGAAAGGACAACAAACCCAGACCGUCGCUGAAGAAUGCCCUCUGCACACCCGUUAGAAACAGCGCCCAACCCGGGAAAGAGUUGCCACCAACAGCAAUUGGCCAGUUGGAAAUGGGAAGAGAAAUGUAGUUUAAAGCCCAAUCCAUCGGAGAGCUGUGGGACAAUGUCAAGCAUCUUAAGACGCCAGGGUGACUGUGCUUUCCUCCAUCUUCUGCUCUAUCACUGGUCCUUCCCAUCGGUAGGGGCCAAGUGGUUUUGACAAAAUACCAGGCACAUAACUGAUAUAAAUCUGAUGACCAAAACAAAACCUCCAGGAUACGGGAGCCUUAUCAAGAACACACUCACUCUGCCAUGCAUCACACUACGCUUUAAUGGCCUUCAUCUUUAGAAUCCAUCUUCUGCUGCUAAACGAAAGAUUAUCAAGAUGGGAAACAGAAGUGGAUGUGUCUACUUCUCACUGACGCACACUUACUCCUCUAGUUUCCCUGAUCAUUCUGAGCUACACGAGAAAAAAGGAGAGAGAAAGCAACGAAAGUGGCUUCUCCACCAGGAUUUUCAGGGUAAAUUAAAUAAAAUUUAGAAGGUCUCUUAUCAAGCGUGGAACAGCCAUUCUAUUUUUCUUGCUCCAUCAAAAGAAAGGAAUAUCUACAUGUGGCCAAGGCAUUGACCCCUUCUAAUGAGGAUGUGGAAUUCUGGACACCAUUCAAGCCAAGUUCAAAUUUAAAUAACUUCACCAAAAUAAGGAAAUUUCUCAUGAGAAACCAAAGCAAAAGCACUAAAAUACAAUCACACCACUGUAAAUUUUAGUGUGGAGACUACUUCUCCAGAUGGCCAGGGCUCCCUGGGACAGUGUCUUGGCUCCAGAGGUGGAUUUGCUGUCCCUACGAACUUGAAAAUGGUUCUUCUUCAAUGAAAGUUAAACUUCCCAUUUUCAACAUUGGCCAUUAAUUAUUUUUCCCAAGGAAUUUCUGGAUUUUUUCAUAAUAAAAUCAAGAUUCCACGAAAAUACACCCUGAAUGUUUUUAAAGGCUUGAUUUAAAAAGUAAUUUUUCUCUUUGUUUUUUUAAAAAAUAA
ensembl:lincRNA